AUACUGUGAAACUGCGAAUGGCUCAUUAAAUCAGUUAUCGUUUAUUUGAUAGUACCUUACUACUUGGAUAACCGUGGUAAUUCUAGAGCUAAUACAUGCUAAAAACCCCGACUUCGGGAGGGGUGUAUUUAUUAGAUAAAAAACCAAUGCCCUUCGGGGCUCUUUGGUGAUUCAUGAUAACUUAACGAAUCGCAUGGCCUUGCGCCGGCGAUGGUUCAUUCAAAUUUCUGCCCUAUUAACUUUCGAUGGUAGGAUAGAGGCCUACCAUGGUAUCAAUGGGUAACGGGGAAUUAGGGUUCUAUUCCGGAGAGGGAGCCUGAGAAACGGCUACCACAUCCAAGGAAGGCAGCAGGCGCGCAAAUUACCCAAUCCCGACACGGGGAGGUAGUGACAAUAAAUACUGAUACAGGGCUCUUUUGGGGUCUUGUAAUUGGAAUGAGUACAAUUUAAAUACCUUAACGAGGAACANNNNNNNNNNNNNNNNNNNNNNNNNNNNNNNNNNNNNNNNAGCUCCAAUAGCGUAUAUUAAAGUUGUUGCAGUUAAAAAGCUCGUAGUUGAACCUUGGGCCUGGCUGGCCGGUCCGCCUCACCGCGUGUACUGGUCCGGCCGGGCCUUUCCUUCUGGGGAUCCGCAUGGCCUUCACUGGCUGUGUCGGGGAACCAGGACUUUUACUUUGAAAAAAUUAGAGUGUUCAAAGCAGGCCUUUGCUCGAAUACAUUAGCAUGGAAUAAUAGAAUAGGACGUGCGGUCCUAUUUUGUUGGUUUCUAGGACCGCCGUAAUGAUUAAUAGGGAUAGUCGGGGGCAUCAGUAUUCAAUUGUCAGAGGUGAAAUUCUUGGAUUUAUUGAAGACUAACUACUGCGAAAGCAUUUGGCAAGGAUGUUUUCAUUAAUCAGUGAACGAAAGUUAGGGGAUCGAAGACGAUCAGAUACCGUCGUAGUCUUAACCGUAAACUAUGCCGACUAGGGAUCGGGCGAUGUUAUUCUUUUGAACAC
rnacentral:rRNA from 1 species